GAUAAUUCCAACAAGAUUAAUGAUUAUCCUAAAAUCUCAUUAUUAUCGCAAUUCAAAGUUAUGCAAGCAGAUUUUUGAUGAUAGUGAAGUCAAAUCAGCUCAUUUAAGAAUCAAAAUUGGCAUACAGAUAUAUUUUUAGGAACGGAAUAUUACUUCUAAAAAGUUACCAUAAUAUACAAUGGAACAAAGACGUUCAUAGCAUAAGUGCUAUUAAGAGGAAUAAUUAAAAUAAAAUAAUUAUCUUCCAGUAUACUGAAAUACAAUGUAUUUCGUAAUCAAAACAGUCCAAAUAAACAUUCUCUCUAAGAAAAUUAUCUUAAAAUAUUAAUCAAUGGUGGUUUUGUUUAUUUUAAUAGUAUGUAGUAUUAAGAACAUGAAAUAAAAUCUUUAUAUUAUUAUAAAGAUUG